UACGGGGGGGGCAAGCGUUGUUCGGAAUUACUGGGCGUAAAGGGCGCGUAGGCGGCCAACUAAGUCGGAUGUGAAAUCCCCAGGCUCAACUUGGGAACUGCAUCCGAUACUGGUCGGCUUGAAUCCGGGAGAGGGAUGCAGAAUUCCAGGUGUAGCGGUGAAAUGCGUAGAUAUCUGGAGGAAUACCGGUGGCGAAGGCGGUUCUCUGGGCAUGUCCUGACGCUGAGGAGCGAAAGUGUGGGGAGCGAACAGG
rnacentral:rRNA from 1 species